GCAGGUUUAAGUUAUAUAUAAACUAUUAGUUUUCAAAACUGAAGAAAUAUCCUGUG
rnacentral:tRNA from 1 species